GAUGAACGCUAGCUACAGGCCUAACACAUGCAAGUCGAACGAAGCGACUGGAGGAAGUUUUCGGAUGGAAUCCGGUUGACUGAGUGGCGGACGGGUGAGUAACGCGUGGAUAACCUGCCUCACACUGGGGGAUAACAGUUAGAAAUGGCUGCCAAUACCGCAUAAGCGCACAGUACCGCAUGGUACGGUGUGAAAAACCCAGGUGGUGUGAGAUGGAUCCGCGUCUGAUUAGCCAGUUGGCGGGUAACGCCACAAAGCGACGAUCAGUAGCCGACCUGAGAGGGUGACCGGGCAC
rnacentral:rRNA from 1 species